rnacentral:rRNA from 1 species
GCGCCUUGCCAGCCCGCGCAGAAACUCAAAGGAAUUGACGGGGACCCGCACAAGCAGCGGAGCGUGUGGUUUAAUUCGUUGCUACACGAAGAACCUUACCUGGGUUUGACAUAUAGGUUGUAGGGAACUGAAAAGGGACCGACCCUUCGGGGAGCCUAUACAGGUGUUGCAUGGCUGUCGUCAGCUCGUGUCGUGAGAUGUUCGGUUAAGUCCGCUAACGAGCGCAACCCUCGUCGUAUGUUAUAUGUGUCAUACGAGACUGCCGGUAAAAAGCCGGAGGAAGGUGAGGAUGAUGUCAAGUCAGCAUGACCUUUAUAUCCAGGGCUACACACACGCUACAAUGGUCUGUACAAUGGGUAGCCAAGCCGCGAGGCGGAGCCAAUCCUGAAAGCAGGCCUCAGUUCAGAUUGCAGUCUGCAACUCGACUGCAUGAAGCCGGAGUUGCUAGUAACCGCAGGUCAGCAAUACUGCGGUGAAUACGUUCCCGGGUCUU